ensembl:lncRNA
UUUUUGCAUGUAAAUUCAAAAAUAAGUUUGAAAUCCUUGAAGGGUCACACGCUACAAAGGAAUUCACCAGUCACAAGGGAGAACAUGCUCAAAGAAGUGGUGUUUAUGUUCAACCUCAUACACCGUGUGAUCAAAUCCUUAUUUCUCUUCCCAACUCUCCACCCUUACGAGUCACCUCGGAUGGGGGAGCUUGCUCUGACAAUCUGUUUUUAAGGUGUAAAAGUUUUGGACUUUCACCUUUGCUGCCUUAGGGCCAUCUGACUCCUUCUGCAUGCUGUGAACACCUAGAUCAUUAACAGGCACACACCAGACUCAACUGACAGCAUGACCUGAAGCAACUCAAGCAGCAGAAAGCAAACUUCAAACAAGAACCAGGGAAGGUUUUGGGCUCAUACUUACACUACUGAUGCCAAUUUAACCGGAAAAUAAAGUGCCCCAAAAAGAUUCUAGGCCAUAGAGGAAGUGUUCAUCAUGGCUGACACAGCAGACACGAGUGCAAGGUUGUGUCUGAACUUCAGACAGGAAGAUGCUGGAGCACAAAGACCACGAUGAGUACGCAAGUGGCAGAGGCAGAGGAAGUGUUUAACAGAUCUUUUUCAGGUAAGUAAAAAGAAUCUUUGCUUUUAAUUGUGCUCACAAUGGGAAGAAGAAAAAGGAGAAGAUGUAAACAUAUGAAACACAAUUCAGCAUCCCCCCACUUCUUUACCAUUUAUCGUCAGGUUUCAACCAGCACAUUUUGACACCUAAAGAAGGAGUGAAUCCCAGCUGCACUGUCUAAAGCAUCUGUACAAGAGGCAUGACACAAAGACCUUUGCUGAAGGAAAGCAAUUUAUAAUCCCACUGCUGCACUCCCUUAACUCCCUCUAUUCAAUUCGUUCAGCUGAGGUACUACCAAGAAAAAGUAGUAAGAAGUGCAACAGAUGUGAGGAGACAGAGGACAACUUCUUGAGUCCAGCAGGAGCUGCUGAGAAGCUUUCUCACCACCAGAAGAAACCCUAGUGUUUCUUGCAAAUCAGCACCACAGGUGAGACAAAUGCUGGGUCUUUCUCUCUACUUUUCAGAAUAACCACAGGUAGCUAAAACCACAAGAUGUCCUGUCCUGCUGCUCAAGUUCCCCAAACCAACACAAGCUUUACACGAACCUUGCCAGACAAGCUUAACCAAGUCACAUAAACAGAAAACUGCGAAAGAAAAUCCCCAUAUUGAUUGUACACUGCGCAGCUGAAACAGAAGCAGCAUUUCAACAAUGCUAUUAACAUUAAACACUAACAUCUGUCCUUGUUAGAAAACACUAUUUUUGCUAAUAAACCCCCCCAACAAAUCCCAUUCCUUUAUAGAUGUGAAACGCACAUAUUGAUCUUCAAUUGUAUUUAUAGAAGGCUAUUUAAGUUUCAGUGACCCCACGCAAAGAAUCCAAUCCCAACAACAAACAACACACUUUAAAACUAGAAUCUACCAAAACCUGCCUUUUGGCUGCUGCUCUCACAACGCUAUGUCUCAUGCCAGUGAGGUAGCUGACCGUUCUAUUGCUGUGUGCGUUGACGCAGCGACCCCUCUACGGCAUGAUAUGUGGAGAGCAGGGGAAAAUCACAGCGUUCAUCUGAACUACAGGCAGCAAAGAGCUGCUGCCUCAUGCCUUGUGCUGCAGAAGAGAUGAGAAGGGUUUAGUCUUCAGGAGGGUUCACCUGAGCCCCUUCCUGUCACCAUAGGGCUAGGGCCUCUGGUGGGGUUCACUCCUGUACAGGCUUCCCAUGGACUUCUGGAUGCAUCUGUGGCACUGUGCUUCGUCCACUGGGGCACAGGAGAGCCUGGCAAGCAAAGGGUUGAAGGAGGGAGACAGACGAGACUGGGAAAGCUUGAAAAUUAAAGUUUUAAAAUAUACAAAAUGUAACACACUGGAAAAAGUUUAAAAGU